rnacentral:rRNA from 1 species
CCUACGGGAGGCAGCAGUGAGGAAUAUUGGUCAAUGGCGGGAAGGCUGAACCAGCCAAGCCGCGUGAAGGACGAAGGUGCCAAGCAUUGUAAACUUCUUUUGUCAAGGGACAAAAUCAUGCUCGAGAGCCUGACCGAGUGUACUUUAAGAAAAAGCAUCGGCUAACUCCGUGCCAGCAGCCGCGGUAAUACGGAGGAUGCGAGCGUUAUCCGGAUUUAUGGGGUUUAAAGGGUGCGUGGGGGGAGUGUUAAGUCAGCGGGAAAAGCCCGGGGCUCAACCCCGGCGAGCCGUUGAAACUGGCGGUCUGGAGCUGGCGAGAGGUAGGCGGAAUGCGCGGUGUAGCGGUGAAAUGCUUAGAUAUUGCGCAGAACUCCGAUUGCGAAGGCAGCAUACCGGAGGGGAUCUGACGCUGAGGCACGAAAGCGUGGGUAUCGAACAGGAUUAGAUACCCUAGUAGUC